GGUCGUGCGAGAGCGAUGCGGUAGCUUGCUCCCUGAUGUUAGCGGCGGACGGGUGAGUAACACGUGGGUAACCUGCCUGUAAGACUGGGAUAACUCCGGGAAACCGGGGCUAAUACCGGAUGGUUGUCUGAACCGCAUGGUUCAGACAUAAAAGGUGGCUUCGGCUACCACUUACAGAUGGACCCGCGGCGCAUUAGCUAGUUGGUGAGGUAACGGCUCACCAAGGCGACGAUGCGUAGCCGACCUGAGAGGGUGAUCGGCCACACUGGGACUGAGACACGGCCCAGACUCCUACGGGAGGCAGCAGUAGGGAAUCUUCCGCAAUGGACGAAAGUCUGACGGAGCAACGCCGCGUGAGUGAUGAAGGUUUUCGGAUCGUAAAGCUCUGUUGUUAGGGAAGAACAAGUGCCGUUCAAAUAGGGCGGCACCUUGACGGUACCUAACCAGAAAGCCACGGCUAACUACGUGCCAGCAGCCGCGGUAAUACGUAGGUGGCAAGCGUUGUCCGGAAUUAUUGGGCGUAAAGGGCUCGCAGGCGGUUUCUUAAGUCUGAUGUGAAAGCCCCCGGCUCAAC
rnacentral:rRNA from 1 species